rnacentral:tRNA from 2 species
GGGCGCUUGGUCUAGGGGUAUGAUCUUCGUUUCGCACCAACUGCUACUUACGAAAGGUCGUGGGUUCAAUUCCCACAGCGUCCA